GCCAAGUGUGGUUAAGCGCUGGCAUAUUUAGCCAAGUUCGGGUUUGGUGGAAAAACCUGGCGUUUCUUUUGAUUUAGUAAGACUCGGUUGAGAGUCUGGCGAUUAUUGAGUUCAGGUGUGCAUAAUAGCCCCUGGCGUUUUUUUUUGUUUUUUUUGUCCGAUUUAUAUUAAAAUUAGAUUGUGGCGGUUCUUUUGUUGUUUUUAAGUUAAUAUUACUCGGUUGAGAGUUUAAAGGUUUAUUUUGUGGUUUUGGCUAGGUUUCGGUGAAGAAACUAGCGAAUGUUGUUUUG